rfam:Burkholderia glathei strain DSM 50014 contig20, whole genome shotgun sequence.
AAGAAAGUGACUGCUGCCCCGCACAGGGGCGAAGCUAAUAAACCAAUAUCAAAUCAAGUUUCAUAGAAGCGCAAAAACAUCAAACGGUUCUAAAAACGCCAAACCCAAGCGCCAGCGACAUCCCU